rnacentral:tRNA from 1 species
GUGGGGCUGGCAUCCGAUGUGCUCUUGUUAGGGCUCGGAGGGUGGUCACGGAAAUUGACCAGCUGGCGUUCGAGGCGCCGCCCCCAAC